AAUGAGAUACUACAUAUGAAGUGCUUAGUACAAUGUAGGACCAUCAGGAUCUAGUUUGAGGCACUAAGAAGGAGAAGACAUCAUUGAAAAGAGACUAUCAGAGCAAUAUGAAUUCUGAUAAAAUUGAAGCAAGAAGAAGCAUUAAGUUUAUGGUGAAGUUGGAAUGGAAGAAUGUUAAAAUCAUUGAUGCUUUAUGAAAAGUAUAUAAGGACAAUGCCCCAAAUAAAUCAGCAGUUUACAAAUGAAUAACUUGUUUUAAGAAAGAAUGAGCCAAUGUUAAAGAUGAAGCCUGAGCAGCAGACUAUUUGCAUCAAUUUUUGAGGAAUAAAUUAAUCUUGUUUGUGCCCUAAUUAAAGAGGAUCAAUUAUUAACAGCAGAAACUAUAGCCAAAAACAUAGACAUUUCAACUGGUUCAACUUACAUAAUUCUGACUGAAAACUGAAGUUGAGCAAAUUCUACUCAACGAGUGCCAAAACCACUGGACCCAGAUCAGCUGCAUAUAAAAGCAGGGCUUUCAGUGGAAAUUUUAAAAAAAUAGGAUCAAGAUCCUGAAACAUUUUUUUGAAGAAUUGUAGCAGGAAAGAAAGCAUGACUUUACCAGUACAAUCCUGAAGACGAAACACAAUGAAAGCAAUGGCUACCAAGAGGUGGAAGUGUUCUAGUUGAAGCAAAAGUGGACUAGUCAAAAGCAAGGGUCAUGGCAACAGCUUUUUGGGAUGCUCAAGGCAUUUUGCUUGUUGACUUUCUGGAGGGCUAAAUAACGAUGACAUCUGCUUAUUAUGACAGUGUUUUGAAAAAGUUAGCCAAAGUUUUAGCAGAAAAAUGACUGGGAGAGCUUCACCAGAGAAUCCUUCUCCACCGUGACAAUGCUGCUCAUUCUUUUCAUGAAACAAGGGCAAUUUUGGGAGGAUUUCAAUAGAAAAUCAUUAAGCAUCCACCUCACAGUCUUAAUUUGGCUUCUUCUGACUUUGUUUUCCCCCCAAAUCUUAAAAAAUUCUUUAAGAGCACCCAUUUUUUCAUCAGUUAAUAACGUAAAAAAGACUACUGACAUAAUUCAAUUGCCAG
rnacentral:lncRNA from 10 species